rnacentral:lncRNA from 1 species
UUAGCUUAGUAACCAUUUGGAGUGAGAUAUUGGUGGAAGCCAAAGUAACGAAGACAGGACCUGAUGAGUGUGGGGGCUAUCGAGGGAUGGAGUUUCAUCGCAAUAGUAUCCUCCCCUUCUCUGCCAGUUCUACAGACCCGAGCCAACAGCUAAUUUGUCAUCGAAACUUGAAGAUGUUGACCUUACUCCUCUCAAAGUGACCUGUGCACGUAGCCCAACAAUGUGAAAGUGCUACCCUUUUUCUCUACCAGCUCGACGCAAGCCAUAACUUCUAAUACAACAACAUUUGAUUUGCUCUUGAGACAAAUGUUGGAUUCAAGUGAUGACUUAACAUUCCAUGUUCUACUUGAGUGUCUUAUAGAUGUAAAUACAUUGUGGUCAGAUAGGUAGAAGUACGAUUAGCCUGCAAAAAAUUGGAGAAGAGAACAAUUUGCAUGGAAAUCUUUGUUCUACGUGUAGUCUGCCAUUGUCUAAUAAGAGGACUGCCAUGCCUGGCCAUGUCAACUGCUCGUCGACUCAGAGGACGUGCCAGCGAACCAACAAGCGCCCGGUCCUUCUUGCGCAUAGAAGCGGAGAGCAGAGCUUGAUAUAGGUAUGGACAGAAAUUCUGGGGAACAGGGGAAUGGCAGAACAAUAGGGCACACGCCAGGAACAGCAGGAACGGCUAGUAGUCGUAGAUAUUCUACGGUGGACUGUUUCUGCCUCACGUAUUAUUGUUUGUG